ACGCUGGCGGCAGGCCUAACACAUGCAAGUCGAGCGGAAACGAGUUAUCUGAACCUUCGGGGAACGAUAACGGCGUCGAGCGGCGGACGGGUGAGUAAUGCCUAGGAAAUUGCCCUGAUGUGGGGGAUAACCAUUGGAAACGAUGGCUAAUACCGCAUGAUGCCUACGGGCCAAAGAGGGGGACCUUCGGGCCUCUCGCGUCAGGAUAUGCCUAGGUGGGAUUAGCUAGUUGGUGAGGUAAGGGCUCACCAAGGCGACGAUCCCUAGCUGGUCUGAGAGGAUGAUCAGCCACACUGGAACUGAGACACGGUCCAGACUCCUACGGGAGGCAGCAGUGGGGAAUAUUGCACAAUGGGCGCAAGCCUGAUGCAGCCAUGCCGCGUGUGUGAAGAAGGCCUUCGGGUUGUAAAGCACUUUCAGUCGUGAGGAA
rnacentral:rRNA from 1 species